rnacentral:lncRNA from 1 species
UUAUUAUUUGUUUCGAGUGCCGCUCCUUUUACGUAAUUGUUUAAAUUUUGCCGAUUAUCUGCCGUGAAUCACUCGAAAAACACAAAAAUUUCAAAGUCCGAAAACAUGAUUCGAGUCACGUUUCGUUUCAUCACUUCCACGGCAAAAUAUCUGCUGCAUUGUCAUUUUUGUUUUAUAUCUUUAGCACAGUCAGCACACUGCAGCAGGAACUACAGUAUAGUCAGCAGACUAUACAGCAGGAACUCGAAAAUAUUUAGCGGAUUUUAUAAUCUGCUGAAUACUAAUUGGGGGGGGUUCUCUGAACUUUCUUCGCUUGUAUGAGAAAUGCCGAAAGUAUGCCACGUGUGUCGAAUUUUCUGGACACAUGUUAGGGAUCUGGUGGACAUCUGGACGGGCUAUAAACUCUCUUAAACUUUAACCUACGCUGGGAGGGGUAGAACGAAAUUAAACUGUAAACAGUAGAUAAAACGGGUUCCCGUAUUAAACUUUGGUUUAUUAGUGAAUUAAGGCGGAUUUAUUUAUUUAUUUAUUUAUCUAUUUUCGGUACGCGAAAAUUAAA